AUGAACGCUAGCGGGACGCCUAACACAUGCAAGUCAAACGGGUUUUAUGUUGUAGCAAUACGAUAUAAAACUAGUGGCAAACGAGCGAGUAACGCGUACCUAACCUGCCCCGAAGAUGGGAACAACUAUAGAGAUAUAGCUAAUUCCCAAUACUCUCUACAGAAUGAAAAUAUGUAGAGCAAAGAUUUAUCGCUUUGGGAGGGGGGUGCGUCCUAUCAUGGUAGUUGGUGAGGUAAUGGCUCACCAAGCCUUUGACGGGUAGCCGGCCUAAGAUGGUGUCCGGCCGCGAUGGAACUGAGAUACGGUCCAUACUCCUACGGGAGGCAGCAGUGGGGAAUCUUGCACAAUGGACGAAAGUCUGAUGCAGCGAUCCCGCGUGGAGGAUGAAGCCCUAUGGGGUGUAAACUCCUUUUCUGGUGGAAGAAGAAUGACGGUACACCAGGAAUAAGAGACGGCUAACUACGU
rnacentral:rRNA from 1 species